rnacentral:lncRNA from 1 species
UGGACAGAACCCAGACUCCCCUAGACACCUGCCUCAGUUGCUGAGUCAGAGAUGUGGGCUCUGGUUGACGGCGGAGAGCUGUGACUUGACUGCAGGCCUGAGCCCAGAAAGAGAGAGAUGCUGUUGAUGAGAUGGUGCUCCUGGAGUCUUUACAGAAGGGCUAGUGGGACAGAGCAGGAAGAGGAGGCCUGGUGUGGGAGCUGGAUGGAGGAGAAGCAAGACUAGGAAGAGCUCCAGAUAAAGGCAGCCUGUGGAAAGGCCGGGGCUGGGUGCCUGCACUGUAGCUGCCUUAAAAAUGGCCCUGAGCAAGACCUGACCAGGCGGAGCCCAGAGCUGGUGGACCAAGCGACACCUGGAUGGGGCUGUGCGGCCAUCAGCAAGCGGGGCUUGCCAAGGUUAUUGGACUCCUGGGUCUUGAGGAACACCGUGAAGAUGAGGGCUUGGGAACCCUGCCCUGCUCCUUUUGUUCCGCAUCUCCCAUGACAUCGGAAGUCCCAUGCCCAGGACAACUCGCUCUGCAGAGAACCUGGGCUCCUUUUAGAAGACACAGGCUACAGAAACAGGAGUCCUGCUGCACAUGCUCAUCCACGGGGACCGAAUGAUGAGCGCUGUCUGCAGCAAGGCCUCUUGGAGAAGAGCCUGUCUUGUUUCCCCAAAGGACCAGGAUUCCUUGGCAUGGUGUUCACAACCUCACCCCACCUUCCUCCACAUUCCUGGGUGCCGGCCACGCUGUCUGUCUAACACCGGCACCUGUGGUGGGCUUGGGCACCUCCAUGCCUGUGCACCUGCUGUUCUCUCUGCCUGGAAUACGCUUUUUUGUCUGAUAAGCUCCCACUCAUCUUUCAAACCCACAUCAGAUCCCCUUGUCUGGAGUCUGCCCUGGACCUCUGCAGAGACAGAGGGAUGCCCUCAGGAGCUCCCCCUGCAUGUGGCCUGUUGUAGGCACUCAGUAAACGGUCCUGUGAGUGAACGAAUGAAGGAAUGA